AAGCCGCCGGGCUUAACCUUCACGACGUGCAGAGGUGGGUGGCCGAGGACCAGGAGAGGCACCUGCAACACAGCAUCACUCACUGUUCAAGUAUUUACAUCUUUGCGCGCAGAACGAGGGACUUAAGCCGGCGGCACUGGAGUGCAAAUUGCUUUGCCGCGUUUCAAAGCAGUGUGGAUCCUGGACAGCCGAGCUGUUUCCGGUGCUCCUGUGGUUGUGUGAUGGCAGCACAGCUUCACAUGUGCAGAGGUGGAGUUUUCCUUUGUCCAUGUGCCGUGAUUCUUCACCUUUAAUGGAGAAGAAAAGGCACACGUGAAGAAACUAGCACCAAGGAUUGCAAAUGAUUAGGGCCUAGGUCUCUGAGGCAUAUAUUAGUGCAGGAAGAAUGGUGGAGUCAAAAAGAUGUGUCCGGAGCCAGAAGUCCUUCGUCCUCUAAACAACUUCUUCAACGCUUUUGAAGGCGUUCUAUGCUUCUCUCUUCCUCCUGAGCAGCUCAGGUCGUUCGUCAUGUUGAGAAAUCACUCCUGGCGGUACUCAGGGGACCAUAUGGGAUGCUGGGAAUCGAACCUGGGUCAGCUGCAUGCAACGCAAAUACACUACCCACUGUAAUAUAGCUCCAGCCCCUGAUUUCUAUACUUCUUUAGCUUAUUUUCCUCUUAUUUAUAUUGGAGUUAUUACUGUUGUUGUUACAGUGUUUAUUUUCUUAUUUAUUUCUUCAACAAUAGGAUUUGCGUAUAAUACAGACUUGAUGUUAAGAAUGUUUUUCCUAAACUUGUUUAGGUUCUUUCCUUGCAUGUAACAACUCUCGUUCCAUCACUGGCACUUUGUAUGUUCCCCAAACAAAGUCAGAAGUGAUCCUUGAGAGGGUGGCAAGAACAAGCCUUUUUGACUCCCAAAUUAAAUUAUAAAUAAACAUAAAAAUAAAUGGAUAAAUAGCUUUAACUUUAAUAAGUUAUGUAUAAUUUUCAAAAAUAUUUUAUAUAAAUUUACAUGUACAUCAACAGAGCAGACACGUUUCUUUUAGUCCUCCAUAUGCCCUCCAGCACUUAUGCUAUUUUUUUCUAGUUUUUAUUUUUCUGGAGGGGAGGGUCAGUUGGCCACACCCAGUGGUGCUUAGUGCUUACUUCUGACUGACUGUGCACUCAGGCAUCACUCCAGGCAGACCUGGGGUACCAUUUGAGAUGCUGAGGAUUGAACCCAGGUAGGCAGCUUAGAAAGCAAGGACACUAUCUGCAUAUGAUCUCCCCAGCUCCUGUUUUGUUGUGGUUUUUGUUGUUGUUUGUUUGGGGACACAAUAAUUAGUGUUCAGAGAUUACUGCUGGUUGUGCUCAGGAGUGCCAGAUCUAAUCACGGUUCAUUUUGUACAAGGCAAAUAUCUUAACCCUGUAUUAUUUCUCUAGUCCUACUGUUGCUUCUGGCAUAGACCAUUUUAAUAAGUGAGAUUGAUAUCUCAGUGUAACUUUUCUAUAUCCAUUACCCUUAUAUAUAUAUAUAUAUACAUAUAUAUAUGCACUUUGAAUAAGUAUGAAUUCCAAUGCUAUCAGUUUUGAUUUUUUUAAUUGUUACUGCAUUCUCUAUAUGUUGACAUACUGUGGCUAUUAUUUUCUUAUCAGAUGCAUACUGUGGAAAUAUCUUCUAGUUAUUUUCUGACAGAAUGAAUGUUAUCAAUUAUAACUAGACUAAUGAAGAACUAAAUUUCAUUCUGAUAUUGGUACCCAGCUCAAGACAAUAGCAAUAAAAAUUUGAUGAUUGAAUACAUUAAUAAAUAUAAACUUUAAAAAAUUAUUAUAUAUGAAUAUUAAUUUUUGUCAACAAGAGGGAAGCAAUACCAAGAGGGGAAGAAAGACUUUAAAAGCUACAUCUUAAAAUUUGGGGUACCAUGGAUAGAGUCUGGGUCAUACUGGCAACAAUCAGGGAUUAUCCUGGAUCUGUGCUCAGAAGUCACUCCUGUAGUGCUCAGGGGACCUCAUAUAGCUCAAUGGAUCAAACUGGGAGCAACAAUAUGCAGGGAAAUCACAAUUCCUUGUACUGUUUCUCACACAUCAUAUCGUUACUGUUUAAAAAUAUUUUUUUCUCUUUUUACGUUCUUUCUUAACUUAAAAAUUCAGUCAUGCAACUUUUUAAACGGAGAAUUCUAAGUUAAAUAAGGAUAGUAAUUAAACAUACCAUAAGGAAUGUCCAAAGUUCAGUCAAAGAAAUGUUUGCAUUUGUAUAGACAGAAGAAGUCAAAAUUAGAUUGGCUGAUUCAUAUGUUGGACACAUUAUGGAUUGGUGCAAGAAAUAUAUUAUAAAGAUUGAAAGCACUCAGAUAACAUCAUUUAUAAAGAUAAGCAGACAUACCACAAAAUACAAAAAACAAAGUCAUUGGAAAUUAUGAGUUGUCUGAAAAUUAAGCAAUAACAAAGAAAAAUUAACAAAAUGAUGACAUAAUUGCUACAUGUUCAUCUAUAAAGUAGUUGAAAUAAUUUAUUAUAAAAUAUAAUAUUUAAUCACUAUCACUAUCAUCCUGUUGAUCAUCUAUUUGCUCAAGGAAGCCCGGUAAAGUCUCCAUUCAUCCUAGCCAUGGCAUUUUAGCAGCCUCUCUUUAUUCAUCCUACCCAAUGGUGCUUCGUUAGAGGCUCUUUCAGAGUCAGGAGAAUGAGACCCAUCAUUGUUACUAUAUUUGGCAUAUAAAUACGCCAUGGGGAGCUAGCCAGGCUCUCCUGUGUGGAUAAUAUUUAAUAUACUUUGUUAUUGUAAUUUAUAACUAUAUAUUAAGUGGACAGAUAUUUCAAAAUUGAAAGCUGAUUUCUUCACGAGCGAUUUCCUUUUUACUUUUUUUGUCAGCCAUGUUGUCCUUAGAAUUUUGUUUUUUUUUUAUUUCAUUUUUACUUCUAGAUACUUAAACUGUGUGUACAAUUACUGUAAGGGUGUUUAGAGUUAUUGUAACAUUUUUAUUUUCUUGGAACUUUAAAUUUGCAAGAUCAGAUUUAACAAAGAUAAGGUUAUCAUGUGGACUA